rnacentral:lncRNA from 1 species
GCAGUAGGAGCCCCUACGUAGGCCCUGCAAGAGGCCUGGCGUUCAGGAAAGGGCCCGCUGACCAUCCAGUGCAGGGAAAGGAGUCCAGCUCUGGCCUCUGCCCCUCAGCUCCACCUCCUGCAUUCCUAGGAGUUCUCCAGAGGAUCUGAUGGGAGCUCAGAACCGGUCCCAACAGGUACUGUGACGCGAUGGCCAUUUUCCUUCCCUUUACCACUGUGCCCCCCUCCCCCCACUGCAGGGACGUCCCCUGGGGCGUCUCUGUGCCCAUGCCCCAUUGGGCGCCUCCUCUCAGCCCAGCCCCCUCCACACUGUAUUGUCUCCUUAGCCGUGAGCUCCAUGAGAGCAGGGUGUGCCCAGGUCACUGUUGUCUCCCCAGUGCCCGGCACAGUGCCUGGCACAUCAUAGAUGCCCCGUGCUCCUACACCAACGAACUCCCCUGACAGCACCACAUCCACGGGGAGCUAGGCCUCAGGGAACAAAGUGGUGCCUGGCUGAGGCACCCACGCAGGGCCUGUUCUUUUGUUUGAGACGGAGUCUCACUCGUUACCCAGCCCAGAUUGCAGUGGCGCAAUCUCGGCUCACUGCAACCUCCACCUCCUGGGUUCAAAUGAUUCUCCUGCCUCAGCCUCCUGAGUAGUUGCGAUUAUAGGCGUGCACCACCAUGCCCGACUAAUUUUUGUAUUUUUAGUAGAGACGGCUUCACAUGUUGGCCAGGCAAGUCUCAAACUCCUGACCUCAGGUGAUCCACCCACCUUGGCCUCCCAAAGUGCUGGAAUUACAGGUGUGAGCCACCGUGCCUGGCUCGGACUUGUUCUUGAGGAUGACGGAACGGGGGUUUUGCUGUUAGGCCAGCCAACAAAAUGGACAAGAAAGACGGGGGAGAGAAGUGAGAUCCUUCCCGCCAGAGCCUGAGGCUAAUGCAGGCCGUGCUGGGCCUCAUGCUCCAGGCCAGCCUGGAAGAGCCCAAAGCCAGUUUCCUUCCAAUGCUGCAUAUAUUACCCAGCAUUCUUAGAUGGAAAGUCCAGUUUCUUUUGCUUUUUUUGUGUAUGCACUUCAGGAAUUUUUUAAGCUAAUUGACUGAAGGGCUCAUGUGCCUAGGAAUAGCAAUCCUAAUAAGCUUUUGCGGAAUCUCCCUGGUUUCAGACCAAGGCUGUGAAUGUCCCAACUCACUUCUGUUCUUGGUGAGUUUUGCUUGUGUUUGUGAACGAGGUGAAUUCAUUAAACACAGCAGUGGCCCCUGCCCAGUGCUGGCUCCCUACAAUGACCACUUCAAUUGCACUGACCCAGAUGCAAUGGAUUCCACCGCAGAAGUGCAUUUAACUCAAAUGCAAACAUAACUGGAAGGUGACACAAGUCCUGAAAUCCCUGGUUGUGCAGACUCAUCAGUGCCUAGCCACUGGUCACUAGCAUGUUUUCAUUUUUCUCCAGCUCCCUCCACCCUUCAUGAACGGGGGCUGGAAAAUGUGGUCUGCUCUGAUAAGGAUUUGCGUCAGGCUACUGGCUACUCAGCAGCCGAGAAGAGCAAGCCUCCAGGCCUCUGCACGCGUGCCUUCUGCCCGGUGAGCCUCUCACUAUCGUCCUUCUAAAAGACACUUCAAAAAGAGGCAAAAUCAUGCCUUCCAUACAUAUAUUAAAAAAAGAAUAUGUGUCAAAUAUUUUAUUCUACUCCUAAACCAAUUUAAGGAAACCAGGCAGAUGUUACAACUGGUUCAAAUGAAAUCCUAAGAACAGACACAUUUAAUAAUCAGGAAUAUGGAAAAGAACAUGCAAAUGGGAGCUGGGCACAGCGGCUCAUGCCUGUAAUUCCAGCACUUUGGGAGGCCGAGGUGGGUGGAUCACCUGAGGUCAGGAGUUCGAGACCAGCCUGGCCAACAUGGUAAAACCCCGUCUCCACCAAAAAAAAAAAAAAAAAAAAAAAAAUUAGCUGGGCAUGGUGGCACAUGCCUGUAAUCCCAGCUACUCAGUAGGCUGAGGCAGGAGAAUCGCUUGAGCCUGGGAGGUGGAGGUUGCAGUGAGCCAAGAUUGCACUAUUGCAUUCCAGCCUAGGCAACAAAAGCAAAACUCCAUCUCAAAAAACAACAACAACAACAACAAAAACACGCAAAUGGGGGCAAAGCUAGGGAGGGGAGAGUCAACUGGUCUCCUACUGGAGUUUGGAAUCUGCAGGUCUGUAGAGAAGCAAAAUUUUGCAUUGCUAUCACUAACCUACAAGUUAAAGAGUUGUAAGUAGUCUUCAUAGAAUGGAGUCAGAUAAUCCAAGGGAGGUCCUGGAGAGUCUAGAUAAUGCACAGUUUUUCAAAGAUGUACAACUGUUUUCAAAGAUGUACAAAUAUGUACAACUCUGACCACUGAUGUCCUUCACCUGGCCAACUUAACCCACACCUCCUCCAGGAAGCCAUCCCUGAUGCCCAAGACUGGGUUAAGUGCCAGCCCCUGGGCUCCCUCAGUGCCUUGAAUUUCUGAUCACACUGUUCCGUCUCCCUCAUCAGAUCUAUGAGAUUUUUUUUUUUUUUAAGACAGAGUCUCACUGUGUCACCCAGGCUGGAGUGCAGUGGCACAGUCAUAGCUCACUACAGCCUCAAACUCCUGGGCUCAAGGGAUCUUUAGCCUCCCCAGUAGCUGGGACUACAAGUGUAUGCCACCAUGCCCAGCUAAUUUUUAAGUUGUCAAGACAAGGUCUUGCUUUGUUACCCAGGCUGGUCUCGAACUCCUGGGCUCAAGCAAUUUGCCUGCCUCGGCCUCCCAAAGUGCUGGGAUUACAGGUGUGAGCCACUGUGCCUGGCCUGAUCUAUGAGAUCCUUAAAACAGAAGCUGUGUCUUACCCACCUCUCACUGUGCCUUUGAGAAUCAAGGGACACGUGGUUGAAUGAAUGAAUGAAUGAAUGAGAGAAAAAAUGAACAAUACAGGGUCCUAAGCCAAAGUGGUCCACAGGGCCCCCAUAAACCCGUAAAAGACUGACGAGACAGCUGUUGAAGGUCUGCAUGUGUACCUGUGAACACAGACAGGCUUCAAUCUCAAUCUUAAUAAGGGCUCCUCAGAAAUGAAGCUCAGGAAGCAAACAAACAUGGGAAAUGAUGGCUAAACACAAACAGGUGGGUUUUGCUUUUAUUUCCUUUUAACCAUAGGACUCCUGAGUCCUUGUAAUAUAUAGUAAAGAGUCUUGCUCUGUUGCCCAGGCUGGAGUGCAGUGGCACAAUCACAGCUCACUGCAGCCUCGAACUCCUGGGCUCGAGCCAUCCUCCUGCUUCAGGCUCCUGAGUAGCUGCGACUACAGGUGUGCACCACCACACCCAGCUAAUUUUUAAAAAAUUCUUUUAAGAGACAAGAUCUCACUAUGUUGCCCAAGCUGGUCUCAAACUCCUGGGCACAAGCAAUCCUCCCACCUCAGCCUCCCGAGUAGCUGGGACCACAGACACACGCCACCAUGCCUGGCUAAUUUUUGUAUUUUUUGUUGAGACAGGGUCUCUCUAUGUUGCACAGGCUAGUCUCGAACUCCUGGGUUCAAGCGAUCCUCCUGCCUCAUCCUCCCAAAGUGCCGGGAUUACAGGCGUGAGCCACUGUGCCCAGGCUAACAGCCUUUAAUAUAUUAAAGUACCCCAGGAGGGAGAAUGCAAUGUUUCCAUGUUUUCCUUAUCUGACUAUAAAACAAUUUUUUUAAUGGACCAGAGACGAUGGAUUCAUGGAGUUACUGUGAGGAAGACACUCAGCAUCGUGCCUGGUAUCGUGUGUGCUUCAUAAACGCCAGCCAUAGCAUGAUUCUUUAUAAAGGCACCAGCUGCAUUUAUGGAGUAAAUGCCUUUCUUGUGUCAUCUCGCUUGACUGGCAAAGCCAUAAGGCCAGGUGAGGAAGAUGAGGCAGGGGAUGAAGAGGAUAUAACACGUAGGAGGUGAAGUCACUAACCCAAAUCCUUGCAGCCGGCAAGUGGUCAGAAUUCUUGGACCAGGUGUGAGGCCUUAAGAGAACAAGCUAGCCCAGGGCUUGGCAUGAAGUAGGUGCUUAAUAAAGAUUGGUUUUAGCCAGGCGCAGUGGCUCAUGCCUGUAAUCUCAGCACUUUGGGAGGCUGAAGCAGGAGGAUCACUUGAGCCCAGGAGUUCCAGACCAGCCUGGGCAACACGGCUAAUCCCUGUCUCUACUAAAAAUACAAAAAGAUUAGUCGGGUGUGGUGGCGCGUGCCUGUAAUCCCAGCUACUCGGGAGGCUGAGGCAGGAGAAUAGCUUGAACCUGGGAGGUAGACUUUGCAAUGAGCCAAGAUCGCACCACUGCACUCCAGCCGGGGCAACAGAGCAAGACUGUCUCAAAAAAAAAAAAAAAAAAAAAAAAAAAAAGACUGGUUUCUACCAUGCCUCCCUCCUCCCUCCUUCCCAUUCAGCCCAGAGGUUCUGGCAGGGCAGACAGAGCUCCAGGCCAAGGACCCCCAGGUGGAUGUACAGAGCAGACCCAGGCUGAGCCCAAUCUUUCCACCCUGCAGUUCAGCUCCUCCCUCCCCUUUCUCUUCCCAGUCUUCCUGAACCUGCACCUGGCCUCUCUGCACACCCCCGCGUUAUUUGGGGAUGUAAGAACUCAGGGUUCCCUCCCUUAUUACUUCUCCUUGUCCAUCCUGGUGAUAGUGCUUGACUCUCAACACACAAAAGGGGCUUUAAAAUGAUCCUUUGAAAAAAUAAUUUUUUUGCUGGGCACAGUGGCUCACGCCUGUAAUCCCAGCUCUUUGGGAGGCCAAGACAGGCGGAUCACCUGAGGUUGGGAGUUCAAGACCAGCCUGAUCAACAUGGAGAAACCCCGUCUCUACUAAAAAUACAAAAUUAGCUGAGCGUGGUGGUGCAGCUCUUCGGGAGGCUGAGGCAGGAGAAUCGCUUGAACCCAGGAGGCGGAGGUUGCAGUGAGCCGAGAUCAUGCCAUUGUACUCCAGCCUGGGCAACAAGAGUGAAACUCUGUCUCAAAAAAAAAAAAAAAAAAGAAAGAAAAAAAAGAAAAAAUAAUUCUUUAAAACUCUUUUUUAGAGACAGGGUCUCACUCCAUCACCCAGGCUGGAUGUCAUCAUAGUUCACUGUAACCUUGAACUUCUGGGCUCAAGCAAUUCUCCAGCCUCAGACUCCUGAGUAGCUGGGACCACAGGCGCAUACCACCACGCCUGGCUAAAACUGGUUCCUUUUUUUUUUUUUUGAGACAGUGCCUUGUCCUGUCCCCCGGGCUGCAGUGCAAUGGCACAAACACUGCCCACUGCAGCCUUGACCUCCUGGGCUCAAGCGAUCUUCCCCUACAGCCUCCCAAAGUGCUGGGAUUAAAGGCAUGAGCCACCGUGCCCAGCCUAAAAAUGGUCUUGAUUCAAUGAGUGAGUAAAUGAAGCCUGUGCCCAGGGCCUGCCAGGCCCCCUGGGGCUGCCCACAGGGUAAACACAGACCCACACGGAGCCCCACUCCAGGCCUGGUCGAAAAAAAUGCUGCUCCAGCUGAAGGCUUUCUCAGAGAAAUGACUCAGCCUGAGCACUCAGAUGCAACUUCCACGUUUUAUGGACUGAAGGUGCUUUCAUAACAGCUGGUGAUGAUGAGCCAGAGGCGGGCUAUAAACAGAGCGGUGAUCUGGUCCUGAACACUCAGGUCUCAGCCCCCACCCACAAGCAGGGCCUCUGAGGCUGUGGCUUCUCCACACUGGUGCUGCUUUGUGCUGGCAAAUAGCACAGGCCCCCAAAAUGACCUGGAGGCUCCUUAACUGAGGAGGCAGAUGAGUGACAGGGCCAGACCUGCAGCCUCAAGGGCCUGGCUGUGCCCUCCCUAGCUCCCUUGGGCCUGGGAGCCUUCCAUGAACCUGUGGCCUGGGACCAAGAGCAUGGGGGGCCUAGUGAUGUGCCUGGUGGGGAGCGGGGAGUGCUGCCAGCAAUGACAGUCCCGCUGGGGGGACGUGGUACAGACUCACUGAGACACAGAACCCUGUGAGCAAGGGGGGUUCACUUAAUCCUCCCUGAGGACUCAGACAGGUGGGCUGCAGGCAGUGGGGUAGCCUUGCCUCUCACUCAUGCCCACCCACCCAUUUGCUCAUUCAUUCAGACAAGCGUGGAUUGAGUAUUUUCUUUUUUUUUCUUUUAAAGACAGGGUUUUGCUCUGUCGCUCAGGCUGAAGUGCAGUGGCAUGAUCUCAGCUCACUACAGCCUCAUCCUCCCAGGCUCAACCGAUCCUCCUGCCUCGGCCUCUCAAAGUAUUGGGAUUACAGGCGUGGCCCACGCCUGGUGAAUUGAGCACUUUCUUUCUUUUUCUUUUUUUUUUUUUUUUUUUUGAGAUGGAGUCUCACUCUGUCAUCCAGGCUGGAGUGCAGUGGCAUGACCUCGGCUCACUGCAACUUCUGCCUCCCGGGUUCAAGUGAUUCUCCUGCCUCAGUCUCCCAAGUAGCUGGGAUUACAGGCACCCACCACCACGCCCGGCUAGUUUUGUAUUUUUAGUAGAGAUGGGGUUUUACCAUGUUGGCCAGGCUGUUCUUGAACUCCUGACCUCAGGUGAUCCAUCCGCCUCGGCCUCCCAAAGUGUUAGGAUUACAGGCGUGGGCCACUGCGCCUGGCAAAUUGAGCACUUUCUUUUUUUUUUUUUGAGACCGGGUCUUGCUCUGUCACCAGGCUGGAGUGCAGUGGCCCAAUCUCAGCUCACUGCAACCUCCACCUCCCAGGUUCAAGCGAUUAUCCUGCCUCAGCCUCCAAGUAGCUGGGAUUACAGGCACGCGCCAUCACGCCCGGCUAAUUUUUUGUAUUUUAGUAGAGACAGGGUUUCACCGUGUUAGCCAAGAUGGUCUCGAUCUCCUAACCUCAUGAUCCACCCACCUUGGCCUCCCAAAGUGCUGGGAUUACAGAUGUGAGCCACCGUGCCCUGCCAAAUCGAGCACUUUCUAAGUGCCCACCUGUCAGCGUCACCCCAGGCUUUCCCAUCUCAGCCCGUGGCUCCACUCUCCUCUAGCUACUUUGGCCAAAAACCACAGAGUCAUCUUGGAUCCCAAUUUUUGCUUCACCCCCACAUCCAAUCUUUCGGCGAGUCCCGUCUGCUUUACCUCGGCACAUCAUCAGUGCGCUCAGUGCACUUCCCAGCCACCUCCCACGCUGGGCUGCUAACCUUCUGCCAGGUCACCAUAGCUACCACCAGCUCCUCCUGACCCUUUGGCCUUGGUCUCUAAAACCCAUUCUCCUCUCAUCAGAGUGACCUCAUCCCAGCAUCAUUCUGACCAUUUCUCAUCUUAAAGUCCUCAAAAGGGUCCUAUCAGAUAUUAACAAUUUUUAAAGAAAUUAAGACAGAAUGGCUUUGGCAUCUGGCUAUUAAAAAAAAAGGGUAGGGGGGGCCGAGUGCGGUGGCUCAUGCUUGUAAACCCAGAACUUUGGGAGGCCAAGGUGGGAGGGUCCCUUGAGCCCAGGAGUUCGAGACCAGCCUGGGCAACACAGAGAGACCCUGUCUUUACAAAAACAAAAUUAGCUGGGUGUGGCGGCACAUGCCUGUAGUCCUAGCUACUUGGGAGACUGAGGUGGCAGGAUCACUUGAGCCUGGGAGGUUGAGGCCGCGGUGAGCUGAGAUCAUGCCACUGCACUCCGGCCUGGGUGACAGAGUGAGAGCCCAUUUAAAAAUGAAAAAUAAAGGGAAAAAAAAGGACAGAACAGGAGUCCCGGAGACAGAACCUUGCAUAAAUGAGAAUUUGCCGUAUGACAGAGAAGCAUCACCAACCAGUGGGGAAAAGAUAGACUCUUUUAUAAAUGGCGUUGGGACAAGUGGUGAUCCAUAUGGGAAAGUAAAAUUAGAUCCCCACCUAACACCACACACACAACUCCAGGUGGAUUCAGGACUUACAUGUGAAUAACAAAAUUUUAACACAUUUAGAAGAAAAUAUAGAAGAAUAUUUUUAUGACCUCAGGGUAAGGAACAAUUUCUUUUUUAAAUAAACUUUUUGUUUGAUUACAACAUGCAUAGUGUACAAGUCAUAAGGGUGCCGCUUGAUGAAAUUUCACAGUGACCCCAGCUGUGUAGCCAGCAUCCAGAUCAACAAGCGGGAUGUAAGGCCAGGCACGGUGGCUCACUCCUGUAAUCCCAACACUUUGGGAGGCCGAGGAGGGCGGAUCAGAAGGUCAGGAGUUUGAGACCAGCCUGGCCAAUAUGGUGAAACCCCGUCUCAACUAAAAAUACAAAAAUUAGCCCGGCAUGGUGGCACACACCUGUAGUCCCAGCUACUUGGGAGGCUGUGGCAGAAGAAUCGCUUGAACCCUGGAGGCGGAGUUUGCAGUAACCCGAGAUCGUGCCACUGCACUCCAGCCUGGCGAAAGGGCGAGAAUCCGUCUAAAAAAAAUAAAAAUAAAAAACACAACAACAAAUGGGACAUAGCCAGUGCCUUCCAAAGCCCCCACGUGCCUCUUUUUUUCUUUCUUUUUUUUUUUUGUUUGAGACGGAGUCUUGCUCUGUUGCCCAGGCUGGAGUGCAGUGGCAUGAUCUCGGCUCACUGAAACCUCCGCCUCCUGGAUUCAAGCAACUCUCCUGCCUCAGCCUCCUGAGUAGCUGGGACUACAGGCACACACCACCAUUCCUGGCUAAUUCUUUUUUUAUUUUUAGUAGAGACGGGGUUUCACCAGUUGGCCAGGAUGGUCUCGAUCUCCUGACCUCAUGAUCCACCCGCCUCAGCCUCCCAAAAUGCUGGGAUUGCAGGUGUGAGCCACCACACUCAGCCUUCUUUUUUUUUUUUUUUUUUUUUUUUUGAGACGGAGUUUUGCUCUUGUUGCCCAGGUUGGAGUGCAAUGGCACGGUCUCGGCUCACCGCAGCCUCCCCUUCCUGGGUUCAAGUGAUUCUCCUGCCUCAGCCUCCCCAGUAGCUGGGAUUACAGGCAUCCGCCACCACACUCGGCUAAUUUUUUUUUUUUUUCUUUAGUAGAGACAGGGUUUCUCCAUGUUGGUCAGGCUGGUCUCAAACUCCCGAUGCCAGGUGAUCCUCCCGCCUCAGCCUCCCAUAGUGUUGGGAUUACAGGCGUGAGCCACCGUGCCCAGCCUUUUUUUUCUUUUCUUUUCUUUUUUUUGAGAUGGAGUCUCACUCUGUUGCCCAGGCUGGAGUGCAAUGCAAUGGCGUGAUCUCAGCUCACUACAACCUCUACCUCCCGGAUUCAAGCGAUUCUCCUGUCUCAGUCUCCCAAGUAGCUGGGAUUACAGGUGUGUUCUACCACGCCCAGAUAAUUUUUGUAUUUUUAGUAGAGACAGGGUUUCACCAUGUUGGCCAGGCUGGUCUUGAACUCCUGACAUCAAGUGAUCCACCUGCCUCAGCCUCCCAGAGUGCUGAGAUUACAGGUGUGAGCCACGGCACCCAGCUCCUCAUGCCUUUUGACAGGAAAGAGUAUCUUAGGCACAAAAGGUAUCAGCUACAAUGGAAAAAAAUUGAUGAGUCUGAUGAUAUUGACAUUUAAAUCUUAAGUUCAACAAAAAAAAAUGCCACAAGAUUAAAGGAUACGUACAGCUGAGCACCAUGACUCGUAUCUGUAAUCCCAGCAUUUUGGGAGACUGAGGCAGGCAGAUUACUUGAGCUGAGGAGUUUGAGACCAGCCUGGGCAACAUGGCAAAACUCUGUCUCUACAAAAAAUACAAAAAUUAGCCAGGUGUGGUGGCGUAUGCCUGUAGUCCCAGUUACUUGGAAGGCUGAGGUGGGAGAAUCACUGGAACCUGGGAGGCAGAGGUUGCAGUGAGCUGAGACUGGGCCACUGCACUCCAGCCUGAGUGACAGAGCAAGACCCUGUCUCAAAAAUAAAUAAAUAAAUAAAUAAAUAAAUAAAUAAAUAACAGAUAUGCACAAUAUGGAGGAAAUAUCUGCAAUAUAAUCAGCAAAUUGGUAUCCAGAAUAUGUAAAGGUCUUCUGCAAAUCAAGAAGAGAGACAACCAACCCAACAGAAAAUUUGGCACAGGUUAUGAACCUUAUAGGAAAAAAAAGCCUAGAUGGCCAAUAAUCAUAUGAAAAAGAGGCUCUGGGCUGGGCAUGGUGGUUCAUGUCAAUAAUCCCAGCAAUUUGGGAGGCCAAGGUGGGAGGAUCACUUGAGUCCAGGAGCUGGAGAACAGACUGGGCAGCAAAGUGAGACCUCGUCUCUACAGAAAACAAAAUAAUUAGCCGGGCAUGAUGGUGCAUGCCUGUAGUCCCAGCUACUCUGGAGGCUAAAGCAGGGGGAUGGAUUGAAUCCAGCAGAUGGAGGCUACAGUGACCUAUGAUCAUGCCACUGCAUUCCAGCUUGGGCAGCAGAGUGAGACCCUGCCUCAAAAACAGAAAAAGUCUCUGUCUCAAUAGUAUCAGAGACAUGUAAAUUUUUUUUUGAGAUAGUCUCACCCUGUUGCCCAGGCUGGAGUGUACUGGUGCAGUCUCAGCUCACUGCAACCUCCACCUCCUGGGUUCAAGCAAUUCUCCUGCCUCAGCCUCCCAAGUAGCUGGGAUUACAGGUGUGCACCACCACGCCUGGCUAAUUUUUGUAUUUUUAGUAGAGACGAGGUUUUGCCAUGUUGGCCAGGCUGGUCUCGAACUCCUGACCUCAAGUGAUCCACCCACAUUAGCCUCCCAAAGUGCUGGGAUUACAGGCGUGAGCCACUGCGCCUGGCUGAGAAAGGUAAAUUAAAACAACAAGGAGAUAUUAUGUCUCACCCAUCAGAUAAUUUAAAAUGGAAGAAAACAUAAAAGCUGAUAUUAUUAAAUGUAGACCCAAAUGAGACUCCUUAAAAACACCAGCUCUGGGCUGGGCGCGGCGGCUCAUGCCUGUAAUCCCAACACUUUGGGAGGCCGAUAUGGGUGGAUCACGAGGUCAGGAGAUGGAGACCAUCCUGGCUAACACCGUGAAACCACAUCUCUCCUAAAACUACAAAAAAUUAGCCCAGCAUGGUGGCACGCACCUGUAGUCCCAGCUACUCGGGAGGCUGAGGCAGGAGAAUCACUUAAACCGCAGAGGCAGAGGUUGCAGUGAGCCAAAAUCACAUCAUUGCACUCCAGGCUGGGCAAAAGAGCAAGACUUCGUCUCAAACAAACAGACAAACAAAUAAAAACCCACCAGCUCUGGAGAAGAUUGGUAAAGCCACUUGGAAGUGACACAAAAUGGCAGCUUGAAGGUCAGGUCAAGAUCAGGGUGAAGGUGAGAACAUCUGUGAGCAUUCCUCUUCCAGGCAGAGACUCUACAGAAGCUCUAUGAGCAUCCCAGGAGGAAGAAAUUGGAAACGUCAUCAAGGAGAUACACAAGGUAUGAUACACUCAUACAAUGGAAAAUGGCCGGACAAAUGAAAGAAACAACAUCAAAGUGAAUUAUCAUAAGAUACACCAAGCAGGGCCAGGGUGGGGCCAGGUCCACCUCUCCUGUUGCCCAAUCUUGAAGGUGGCAGAGGACCUUUGAGGCACCUUGCUGGCCCACUGAGGAGCUGUGGCCGAGGCACACGCCCAUCAGGGCUGACUCCUUGCUGGGAACUGGGUCAGGUGGAUGGACGUGGUGACGAGCAACAGUGAGGUUUCCCCCACAUCCUUUCACCUGCCCUGCUGCGUCUGCUGCUGAGUCAGGAUCCAUCUGGGGAGCCACCGUGGGACACUCUCCCCUAUGGGAGAGUGGUAAGGUUCUGGAGUAACACAUGGGACUGGAAAUGUUUCUGUGGCCAUUUUUAUUUUUAUUUAUUUUUUUAAGACAGAGUCUUGCUCUGUUGCUCAGGCUGGAGUGCAGUACUGUGAUCUCAGCUCACUGCAACCUCUGCCUGUGGGAGUUCAAGCAAUUCUUCUGUCUCAGCCUCCCAAGUAGCUGGGAUUACAAGCACCCACCACCACGCCUGGCUAAUUUGUGUAUUUUUAGUAGAGAUGGGGUUUCACCAUGUUGGCUAGUCUGGUGUCAAACUCCCGACCUCAGGUGAUCUGCCCAUCUGAGACUCCCAAAGUGCUGGGAUUACAGAGCUGAGUGACAGAGUGAGACUCUGUCAAAAAAAAAAAAAAAAAAAAAGAAAGGAAGGAAGAGAAAUAGAAAGAAAGAAAGAAAAAGAAAGAAAGAAAGAAAAGAAAGAAAGAAAAGCUGGAAUGAGUCAGGGCAGAAUCAUAGAAUGUCUGGGUGUGAAUCCUGGCUUCCCUCCUUUCCAGUGAAGCAACCUUGGGCGAGUGGCUUGACCACUCUGUGCCUGUUUCCUCACCUGUAGCAGUUAGGAAUGCAUUUGGCUGCAGGUAACUGCAGAGCUCCAACCUCCCGCAAAACAGCAGCUUUGUUCAUUUCAUCUUGAAAAGCUCAGCCAUGUGCGGUUGCUGGUUUUGGUUCAGGAGGUCAGAGAGAGGAUUCAUCAUCUUUGUCUUUUUUCUUAGAAAAACCUGUUUACCUGAAGACUUCCCCUCAAUGUCACUGCCAAAGGGAAGCCUUGCAACCAGGCUGCCGGUUGCACGGAUCCAACAUUUGCUCUGUGGGUCUCAGCCUGGGUCAAACUCACACCUCUAAGGGAUGUUUGGAAAUGUGUGGAGUCAUUUUGGGUUGUCACAAUGAUUUAGCUGCAAUGCAUAGAACAGUCUUAUAUGAAGAAUUGUCCUGCCCUAGAAGAAAAAAAAAUGUCCCACCCAAAUGCCAAAAUGUCUGUGCCCCACUGAAAAGCUCCAGCCUCCGUAAGUGGAGGCAGUGAGUAGGGAAGGGCUGAGACAGAUGCAGGUCAGGCACCAGCCCUCACUCCUGCCACAUCCAGCUUGUAGGGCUGUGCCAGGGAGCAUGGGGAUGUGCCCAGGCCAGCGCCUGGCAUGAGCACAUGUUGGGGUCCCCAAGGCGUGCCUAAGGGGCGCUUUGGCCAGAGCACUGUGGCAAGGUCUGAGACUGGCAAAGAAUGACCCCGGGGACUGAGCAGUGGAUGCAGGUGGAAACAGAGUGCCUCUGAUUUUCCUCUGACCUUCUUGCCUCUCUUCAAAGCCUGCCUGGCCCUCGGAGGCUGCCCAGUGCAUCAUAGUACAUCCCACGGUGGCUCCCCAGAUGGAUUCUGACUCAGCAGCAGACGCAGCAGGGCAGGCAAAAGGAUGUGGGGGAAACCUCACUGUGGCUCAUCACCACGUCCAUCUGCCUCACCAAGUUCCCAGCAAGGAGUCGGCCCUGAUGGGUGUAUUCCUCAGCCACAGCUCCUCAGUGGGCCAGCAAGGUGACUCGAAGGGCCUCUGCCACCUCUAAGAUUGGGGAACAGGAAAGAUGGACCUGGCCCCACCCCAGCCUGCGGGUCACCACCCAUGGCGGGACAAGUGAGAAAAGUUGGCCUUGCUCACCGCUGGAGCCCAAACCACAGGUUUCAUUUCCCCUUGAUAAAGACAAUGUUUGCUAUUGUUGCAUCUGAUGGUAAAAGCAAGUCAUAUUCACUAUCAAAAAGUUUGAAAGGCGGCCGGGCACGGUGGCUCACACUUGUAUUCCCAGCAUUUUGGGAGGCCGAGGCAGGCGGAUCACAAGGUCAAGAGAUCGAGACCAUCCUGUCCAACAUGGUGAAACCCCAUCUCUACUAAAAAUACAAAAAUUAGAUGGGCAUGGUGGCGUGCACCUGUAGUUCCAACUACUUGGGAGGCUGAGGCAAGAGAAUCGCUUGAACCCGGGAGGCAGAGGUUGCUGUGAGCCCCAAGAUUGCACCACUACACUCUAGCCUGGCAACAGAGCGAGACUCCGUCUCAAAAAACAAAAAAAAAAAGGAAAAUAAGAAUCCAGCCUCAAGCCUGUCACCCAGGAACAAUCACUCUAGUUGGCUGGUGUAUUUCCCUCCAGUCUUUUUUUCAGUGUAUGUAUAUAAACUUUAUUUAUAUAUAUUAUUUUAUAGCCAGCUGCUUUUUUUCUUUUAAUUCUAAAUGAUGGGCUGUUUUUUGUUUUAAAACACUGUAGACCAGCCAAGUGUGGUGGCUCAAACCGGUAAUCCCAGCACUUUUGGAGGCUGAGGUGGGCAGAUCACUUGAGCCCAGGAAUUCAAGACCAGCCUGGGCAACAUGGCAAAACCAUGUCUCUACCAAAAAUAAAAAAAUUAGCCAGGCAUGGUUCCAUGCACCUGUAGUCCCUGCAACUUGGGAGGCUGAGAUGGGAGGAUCACCUGAGCCCAGAGAGGUCGAGGCUACAGUGAGCCAUGAUCAUGCCAUCACACUCCAGCCUGGGUGACAAGAGUGAGACCCUGUCUCAAAAACAAACAAACAAACAAACAAAAAAAAACACAGGCUGGGCACAGUGGCUCAUGCCUGUAAUCCCAGCACUUCGGCAGGCCAAGGUAGGUGGAUCACCUGAGGUCAGGAGCUCAAGACCAGCCUGGCCAACAUGGCGAAACCCUGUCUCUACUAAAAAUACAAAAAUUAGCCGGGUGUGGUGGCACACGCCUGUAAUCCCAGCUACUUGGGAGGCUGAGGCAUGAGAAUCGCUUGAACCCGGGAGGUGGAGCUUGCAGCGAGCUGAGAUUGUGCCACUGCACUCCAGCCUGGGCGACAGAGCAAGACUGCAUCUCAAAAGAACAAACAAAAACAAAAACCACUGUAGACCAAGCAAACUCAACUCUUCCUCCUCCCAUGCAGUGCUCCCUCUGCCUGUUUCCCCACAUCACCUGUGUGAUGGGGAGUGGGGGGGCACACAGCGAGGCUGAGGACUCAUGGAAUGACCCUUGGGAAGCCAGAAUGGGCACGGGUACACAUUUCCAAGCAGGAGACUCACUGAUCUACCCACCCCGGGUCCCCAACCACACUGGGAAUCCCCUCCAUGAACGGGAGGAGCCUCUAUCACACACACACACACACACACACACACACACACACACACACACGGAGACCACAGAGAGAACAUGGGCACCGUGGGCAACUGUUUGAAAAUUUCUGAGCUGCUUCUCAGAUAAAGAGAGCACUCUCAUCUUCCUUGUCCUUCUCCAGAAUCAGCAGAAAUCAAGUUUCUCACCUUCCAAGCUCAGCCAAGAAAUUUCAAUUCCAGUGACGACAGAGCUGGUGUGGGGUGGAUGGUUCCCAUGGGAAGGUGUGGGUCACAGGCUGGGCUCUUAGUACUGGGAAAGUCCCUAGGCCAAGUCAGAAUCCCAGGUGUCCUCCCUGAGCACCUGCUGUGUGCAGGAUGCCAUGCCAAACAUUUUAUGAAUUAGUUCAUCCCAUUCUUGUGACACCUCAGCAGGGGAGGUAUCAGUACCCCCAUUUAAUGGAUGAAGAAAUGGAGGCCCUGCAAAAUUAAGCCACAGGCCAACUUCCUCAUGGAUGGAUCAAGCAUCUGAAGCCAAGAGAGUGGACAUGGCCUGUCCAGACUGGGGACCAGCGCAAGGCAAGGUUUAUCCUGCUGGGCCAGGCCCGGCUGCCUCUCUCAGAGGGCACUGGGGAGUUUGCCCUGGACACAGGCUAGGGGCAAAGGCUCACAUGGACAUGUCGAGUCAGCUGCCAGAUCCUGGGCUCUAGGCCUCCCCAACAUCUUCCCAAUGCACCCAGCUGACUCCUGGAGUCCAGAAAGUCCAAACUGUAGAAGGUCACCCCAAGCGCCCUGGGACUUCGCACUCUGCGCUGGCUGACAUGUGGGGCUGGAAUGGCUUCUUCCACUGGGCGUGUAUGUGGGCGUGGGAAUGGACACAUGUGCUCUGUCUCCCGGCCCAACUGUCCAGUCACAGGCGACAGCAUCUGGGUCUGUGGCAAGUUCAGAGCUCCAGACCUGCCUUCCCCACUGAUGCCCUGUGUGACCUGGACCCGGUCUCACUCCCUCCCUGAGUCCCAGUUGUUCUUCUCUUCUGUGGAAUCCUAACCCUGUGAUUCCUGAAGGGGAGGGACAGUAAAGACACAUUUCUUUCUUUUCUUUUUCUUUUUAAGAGAGAAGAUCUGGCGGCCGGGCGUGGUGGCUCAUGCCUAUAAUCCCAGCACUUGGGGAGGCUGAAGCAGGUGGGU